UUUGAAUGGUAAUGAUUUUAAAAGACAAGUUUCCAAAACACCUAAAAACCACACAUUGUAUCCAUAUUUGUAUCUAGUUGACUUUUAUAUAAACAAUGGCCUUUCAGGCAAUUAACUGGCCCACUAUGAAAAACCAGAGGAACAGUAUUAGUAGGUAAAUCAAUACCAAAGGCAGAUCCAAUAGUGAUUGCAGUCCUACAUUUGAUCUACAUGGACUAUAAAGAAUAUAAAAAUGAGACCCAUCAAAAGAGAAA